UACGUAGGGUGCGAGCGUUGUCCGGAAUUAUUGGGCGUAAAGAGCUCGUAGGCGGUGUGUCACGUCGGCCGUGAAAACCUGGGGCUUAACUCUGGGCGUGCGGUCGAUACGGGCAUCACUAGAGUUCUGCAGGGGAGACUGGAAUUCCUGGUGUAGCGGUGAAAUGCGCAGAUAUCAGGAGGAACACCGGUGGCGAAGGCGGGUCUCUGGGCCGAUACUGACGCUGAGGAGCGAAAGCAUGGGUAGCGAACAGG
rnacentral:rRNA from 1 species